GGGUGGUAAAUUCCAUCUAAAGCUAAAUACUGGCGAGAGACCGAUAGCGAACAAGUACUGUGAAGGAAAGAUGAAAAGCACUUUGAAAAGAGAGUGAAACAGCACGUGAAAUUGUUGAAAGGGAAGGGUAUUGCGCCCGACAUGGGGAUUGCGCACCGCUGCCUCUCGUGGGCGGCGCUCUGGGCUUUCCCUGGGCCAGCAUCGGUUCUUGCUGCAGGAGAAGGGGUUCUGGAACGUGGCUCUUCGGAGUGUUAUAGCCAGGGCCAGAUGCUGCGUGCGGGGACCGAGGACUGCGGCCGUGUAGGUCACGGAUGCUGGCAGAACGGCGCAACACCGCCCGUCUUGAAACACGGAC
rnacentral:rRNA from 1 species